rnacentral:tRNA from 1 species
UUCAAUUUGGCAGAUAAAUGCAAUAAAUUUAGAAUUUAUUUAUGAAUUUUCAAUUGAAA